rnacentral:rRNA from 1 species
GAUGAACGCUGGCGGCGUGCCUAAUACAUGCAAGUCGAGCGAACAGACGAGGAGCUUGCUCCUCUGACGUUAGCGGCGGACGGGUGAGUAACACGUGGAUAACCUACCUAUAAGACUGGGAUAACUUCGGGAAACCGGAGCUACUACCGGAUAAUAUAUUGAACCGCAUGGUUCAAUAGUGAAAGACGGUUUUGCUGUCACUUAUAGAUGGCUCCGCGCCGCAUUAGCUAGUUGGUAAGGUAACGGCUUACCAAGGCUACGAUGGGUAGCCGACCUGAGAGGGGACGAGGCAACCCUGGAAUGGGAGCACGAUCAGGCCCCCUAGGGGAGGGAGAAGGAGGGAAUCUUCAGCAAUGGGCGAAGGCGGGAAGGUGGAACGCCGCGUGAGAGAUGAAGGUAUUAGGGUCGUAAAACUGUGUAAUGAGGGAGGAAUAAAUGUGUAAUUAACCAGGCGGGUCUUGACGGUACCGAAACAAAAAGCCACGGCUAACUACGUG